AUGUGUGAAGUGCGUGGUGUGUUCUCUACGCCCUUCCCCCAGAAUGUCCUUGUCAGGAAAUCAGUGGGAAGGGAAAUGCCCGGCAACUCGCUCAUCUUGCUAGGGCCUUUAUUUCCUUUCAGUAUUGUUAUACUACUAACAAGGCGCAUAAGUCAACUGCGCAGUGCAGACAGUGUGCACUGGGCAUGCAGCAAACGCAACGGCCAGGUGCUCAGCUUUUCGGCGCUGAAAGAAACUUCCAUCCACCACAAGAGGGCCUACCGUGAAACAACCGCUAGUGGCCGGUGCUCGAUGGCCGGCAUGCCGGGCAAUGGAGCUUGCUCCUCCAUUCUUAUGGACUACCCAGUGUGA
rnacentral:rRNA from 1 species